GACGAACGCUGGCGGCGCGCCUAACACAUGCAAGUCGAACGAGCGAGAGAGAGCUUGCUUUCUCGAGCGAGUGGCGAACGGGUGAGUAACGCGUGAGGAACCUGCCUCAAAGAGGGGGACAACAGUUGGAAACAACUGCUAAUACCGCAUAAGCCCACGGCUCGGCAUCGAGCAGGGGGAAAAGGAGCAAUCCGCUUUGAGAUGGCCUCGCGUCCGAUUAGCUAGUUGGUGGGGUAACGGCCCACCAAGGCGACGAUCGGUAGCCGGACUGAGAGGUUGAACGGCCACAUUGGGACUGAGACACGGCCCAGACUCCUACGGGAGGCAGCAGUGGGGAAUAUUGCACAAUGGGGGAAACCCUGAUGCAGCGACGCCGCGUGGAGGAAGAAGGUCUUCGGAUUGUAAACUCCUGUUGUUGGGGAAGAUAAUGACGGUACCCAACAAGGAAGUGACGGCUAACUACGUG
rnacentral:rRNA from 1 species